GGAAAGACUUCCAGCUUCAUCACGGAGUUUCUCUCGGUUUGUGGGCUCAUCUAAAGCUGAGUAACAGGAGGAGAAGAGUCUGGUGGUGCAGCAGAAGAACAAUUUCAGCCAUUUGGACUCAGCUCAGCCACUACAGAGGAAACAAUGACUUCAACACAAAAGGACCAACAUGGAGCGAGAAGUCAGCGCUCUCAGGAGUCCGACAAACCUCACAGAAGAAAG